UUGUAUGUCAUUUAUUAAUCAUUAUAAAGGUCGGAGUUUGUACAGCACUUUGGAUAGCAAUAAAAGACAACGUCAGUACUAAGCAGCUGCCCCUGAACUUCAGUAUAACGAUUUAGGAGUCUACUCUCAAUUAUAGAAGCAAGUUUCAGUACUGACGUUGUGCUUUUAAAAGGUGAAGUACAUAGCACAAGUAUACAUGACAUACUCUACAUUGGUCCUCAUUAGGUAUAAUACACAUUUUCAGUUUUUUAGUUAUUUAUUUUGAA